rnacentral:tRNA from 1 species
GCGGCCAUGGCGGAAUUGGCAGACGCGCUAGAUUCAGGUUCUAGUGAAGGUUUCUUCAUGGAGGUUCAAGUCCUCUUGGCCGCACCA